CCUACGGGAGGCAGCAGUGAGGAAUAUUGGUCAAUGGGCGGGAGCCUGAACCAGCCAAGCCGCGUGAGGGAAGAAGGUACAGCGUAUCGUAAACCUCUUUUGUCAGGGAACAAAGGCGGGGACUAGUCCCCGGAUGAGGGAACCUGAAGAAAAAGCAUCGGCUAACGCCGUGCCAGCAGCCGCGGUAAUACGGGGGAUGCGAGCGUUAUCCGGAUUUAUGGGGUUUAAAGGGUGCGCAGGCGGCCUGUUAGGUCAGCGGUAAAAGCCCGGGGCUCAACCCCGGCGAGCCGUUGAAACUGGCGGGCUGGAGUUGGAGAGAAGUACGCGGAAUGCGCGGUGUAGCGGUGAAAUGCUUAGAUCUCGCGCAGAACCCCGAUUGCGAAGGCAGCGUACCGGCUCCACACUGACGCUGAGGCACGAAAGCGUGGGUAUCGAACAGGAUUCGCUACCCGAGUAGU
rnacentral:rRNA from 1 species